rnacentral:rRNA from 1 species
GCUUAGCCAUAAACCCAGAUAUUUAACAUACAAAAAUAUCCGCCAGAGAACUACGAGCAAAACGCUUAAAACUCUAAGGACUUGGCGGUACCUUAAACCCCCCUAGAGGAGCCUGUUCUAUAAUCGAUAAUCCACGAUCUACCUCACCAUCUCUUGCCAAUACCGCCUAUAUACCGCCGUCACCAGCCUACCCUAUGAAGGAUAUAAAAGUAGGCAAAAUCGCACAACAGCUAACAAGUCAGGUCAAGGUGUAGCUUACUGAAAUGGAAGAAAUGGGCUACAUUUUCUAAACUAGAAAUCAUUUCACGGAAAGAACUAUGAAACAAGUUCUAUAAGCAGGAUUUAGCAGUAAAUAGGGAUCAGAAUGCCCAAUUUAAGCCGGUCCUAAGGUACGC